rnacentral:rRNA from 1 species
UGGGGAAUAUUGCACAAUGGGCGCAAGCCUGAUGCAGCCAUGCCGCGUGUAUGAAGAAGGCCUUCGGGUUGUAAAGUACUUUCAGCGGGGAGGAAGGCGAUCAGGUUAAUAACCUUGUCGAUUGACGUUACCCGCAGAAGAAGCACCGGCUAACUCCGUGCCAGCAGCCGCGGUAAUACGGAGGGUGCAAGCGUUAAUCGGAAUUACUGGGCGUAAAGCGCACGCAGGCGGUCUGUCAAGUCGGAUGUGAAAUCCCCGGGCUCAACCUGGGAACUGCAUUCGAAACUGGCAGGCUAGAGUCUUGUAGAGGGGGGUAGAAUUCCAGGUGUAGCGGUGAAAUGCGUAGAGAUCUGGAGGAAUACCGGUGGCGAAGGCGGCCCCCUGGACAAAGACUGACGCUCAGGUGCGAAAGCGUGGGGAGCAAACA